rnacentral:rRNA from 1 species
AUUGAACGCUGGCGGCAGGCCUAACACAUGCAAGUCGAACGGUAACAGGAAGCAGCUUGCUGCUUCGCUGACGAGUGGCGGACGGGUGAGUAAUGUCUGGGAAGCUGCCUGAUGGAGGGGGAUAACUACUGGAAACGGUAGCUAAUACCGCAUAAUGUCGCAAGACCAAAGAGGGGGACCUUCGGGCCUCUUGCCAUCGGAUGUACCCAGAUGGGAUUAGCUUGUUGGUGGGGUAACGGCUCACCAAGGCGACGAUCCCUAGCUGGUCUGAGAGGAUGACCAGCCACACUGGAACUGAGACACGGUCCAGACUCCUACGGGAGGCAGCAGUGGGGAAUAUUGCACAAUGGGCGCAAGCCUGAUGCAGCCAUGCCGCGUGUAUGAAGAAGGCCUUCGGGUUGUAAAGUACUUUCAGCGGGGAGGAAGGGAGUAAAGUUAAUACCUUUGCUCAUUGACGUUACCCGCAGAAGAAGCACCGGCUAACUCCGUG